AAGAAGCAUUAAGUUCGUUCAGUUCAAACAAGGUUGUAGUUGGCUUCAAAGGUUGAGUUUCAACAAUCAACAAGUUUCAGGAAGAGUUUUCAAGGCUCGAAGCAUACAAGUCUUUUUGAGAGGUGCAUAAGCUACUCAGGUGCAAAGUAAUGUUCUUUACAAGGCAUUUCAAAUCAUUGCUCCCAAUGCAAGUAAAUGCA
rnacentral:lncRNA from 1 species